AUUGAACGCUGGCGGCAUGCCUUACACAUGCAAGUCGAACGGUAACAGGUUAAGCUGCCGCGUGGCGAACGGGUGAGUAAUGUAUCGGAACGUGCCCAGUCGUGGGGGAUAACUGCUCGAAAGAGCAGCUAAUACCGCAUACGACCUGAGGGUGAAAGCGGGGGAUCGCAAGACCUCGCGCGAUUGGAGCGGCCGAUAUCAGAUUAGGUAGUUGGUGAGGUGAAGGCUCACCAAGCCGACGAUCUGUAGCUGGUCUGAGAGGACGACCAGCCACACUGGGACUGAGACACGGCCCAGACUCCUACGGGAGGCAGCAGUGGGGAAUUUUGGACAAUGGGCGCAAGCCUGAUCCAGCCAUGCCGCGUGCGGGAAGAAGGCCUUCGGGUUGUAAACCGCUUUUGUCAGGGAAGAAAAGGUUCUGGCUAAUACCUGGGACUCAUGACGGUACCUGAAGAAUAAGCACCGGCUAACUACGUG
rnacentral:rRNA from 1 species